rnacentral:RNase_P_RNA from 1 species
UCAGCGGACCGCGUGAUCGCGGUCGGACCUUCGGGUCCGAUGGAGGAAAGUCCGGACUCCGCAGGGUCAGUCGGUGGGUAACGCCCACGGGUCGAAAGGCCACGGAAAGUGCAACAGAGAACAGACCGCCGAUGGCCGCGCGAGCGGCACAGGUAAGGGUGAAACGGUGAGGUAAGAGCUCACCGCCGGCUUGGUGACAAGGCGGGCACGGCAAACCCCGGCUGGAGAAAGGCCAAAUAGGGGAGGAGGGGCCCUCGGGUCCCAGGGGGCGGCCCGUCCCCUUCGACUCCCGGGUAGGCCGUUCGAGGCGACGCGCGAGCGUCGUCCCAGAGAAAUGAUCACGCCUCCCUCGAGGACAGGAUCCGGCUUACGCGUCCGCGCAAAGA